GGGGACCUGGUUCAGUUGAUAAGGCGCUUGCUUCGAAAGCAUGAGGGGCAGAGUGAGUUCAAAUCUCCCGGUACUCA
rnacentral:tRNA from 1 species